UGGCAACGACCCCCCAGUAGCCGAAAACUUGGUCAAACUCGGUCAUUUAGAGGAAGUAAAAGUCGUAACAAGGUUUCCGUAGGUGAACCUGCGGAAGGAUCAUUACCGAGUGAGGGCCCUCUGGGUCCAACCUCCCACCCGUGUUUAUUUUACCUUGUUGCUUCGGCGGGCCCGCCUUAACUGGCCGCCGGGGGGCUUACGCCCCCGGGCCCGCGCCCGCCGAAGACACCCCCGAACUCUGUCUGAAGAUUGUAGUCUGAGUGAAAAUAUAAAUUAUUUAAAACUUUCAACAACGGAUCUCUUGGUUCCGGCAUCGAUGAAGAACGCAGCGAAAUGCGAUACGUAAUGUGAAUUGCAAAUUCAGUGAAUCAUCGAGUCUUUGAACGCACAUUGCGCCCCCUGGUAUUCCGGGGGGCAUGCCUGUCCGAGCGUCAUUUCUGCCCUCAAGCACGGCUUGUGUGUUGGGCCCCGUCCUCCGAUCCCGGGGGACGGGCCCGAAAGGCAGCGGCGGCACCGCGUCCGGUCCUCGAGCGUAUGGGGCUUUGUCACCCGCUCUGUAGGCCCGGCCGGCGCUUGCCGAUCAACCCAAAUUUUUAUCCAGGUUGACCUCGGAUCAGGUAGGGAUACCCGCUGAACUUAAGCAUAUCAAUAAGCGGAGGAAAAGAAACCAACAGGGAUUGCCCCAGUAACGGCGAGUGAAGCGGCAAGAGCUCAAAUUUGAAAGCUGGCUCCUUCGGGGUCCGCAUUGUAAUUUGUAGAGGAUGCUUCGGGAGCGGUCCCCAUCUAAGUGCCCUGGAACGGGACGUCA
rnacentral:rRNA from 1 species